UACACUGCAGCCCGGUCUGUGGCUGCCGUUACAGCGUUCACGCUUAAUACUGAACCAAAGUCAAAGAUUUGUGUUCCUAUCAGUCACUUACACACUAAAACAUAGGAAAAUAGGGUCCAGGUUGAAAAAAAACUAUGUUACCCUUUAAGUACAGUACCUGAGUAAGUAUACUUAGUAACUUUCCAGCCCUGCUCUGCAGAGAGAACACAAGCAGACACAGUGGAAAACAGCAGCAGCAUAGCCUAACAAUAAUAAUGUCCU